rnacentral:misc_RNA from 1 species
AACGCACAUUGCGCCCUCUGGUAUUCCUUUGGGCAUGCCUGUUCGAGCGUCAUUUGGACCCUCAGGCUCUGCUUGGUGUAGGUGGUCGCCCGGCCGCCCGCGCUCUUGCAGAGCUUGGUGUUGGGCGCUUGUCCCCGCUAUGGUGGACUCGCCUUGAAAGCAUUGGCAGUGAACCCUCGGCUAGACGCGCAGCACAGUCGCGCUACCCUGGCCUGGUGUUGGCAGCCACAAAGACAAACCACGCUUGACCUCGGAUCAGGUAAGGAUACCCGCUGAACUUAA